UACGGGGGGGGUAAGCGUUGUUCGGAAUUACUGGGCGUAAAGGGUCUGUAGGUGGCUUGCUAAGUCAGACGUGAAAUCCCUCAGCUUAACUGGGGAACUGCGUCUGAGACUGGCGAGCUUGAGUGCAGGAGAGGAACGCGGAAUUCCAGGUGUAGCGGUGAAAUGCGUAGAUAUCUGGAGGAACACCGGUGGCGAAGGCGGCGUUCUGGACUGCAACUGACACUGAGGCACGAAAGCUAGGGGAGCAAACAGG
rnacentral:rRNA from 1 species